UGGGGAAUAUUGGACAAUGGGCGCAAGCCUGAUCCAGCCAUGCCGCGUGAGUGAUGAAGGCCCUAGGGUUGUAAAGCUCUUUCACCGGUGAAGAUAAUGACGGUAACCGGAGAAGAAGCCCCGGCUAACUUCGUGCCAGCAGCCGCGGUAAUACGAAGGGGGCUAGCGUUGUUCGGAUUUACUGGGCGUAAAGCGCACGUAGGCGGACUUUUAAGUCAGGGGUGAAAUCCCGGGGCUCGACCCCGGAACUGCCGUUGAUACUGGAAGUCUUGAGUAUGGUAGAGGUGAGUGGAAUUCCGAGUGUAGAGGUGAAAUUCGUAGAUAUUCGGAGGAACACCAGUGGCGAAGGCGGCUCACUGGACAAUUACUGACGCUGAGGUGCGAAAGCGUGGGGAGCAAACAGG
rnacentral:rRNA from 1 species